AGCUCCAAUAGCGUAUAUUAAAGUUGUUGCGGUUAAAAGCUCGUAGUUGGAUUUCUGUUGAAAACAGGCGGUCCACCUUUUGGGUGAGUAUCUGCAUUGGUUUCGGCAUCUUCUCGGAAUACGUCUCUGCGCUUGAUUGCGUGGUGCGGAGUUCGGGACUUUUACUUUGAGGAAAUUAGAGUGUUCACGGCAGGCAAUCGCCUUGAAUAUAUUAGCAUGGAAUAAUAAUAUAGGAUCUUGGUUCUAUUUUGUUGGUUUCUAGAGCUGAGAUAAUGAUUAAUAGGGACAAUUGGGGGCAUUCGUAUUAACGCGUCAGAGGUGAAAUUCUUGGAUUGCGUUACGACGAACUACUGCGAAAGCAUUUGCCAAGGAUGUUUUCA
rnacentral:rRNA from 1 species